AUUGAACGCUGGCGGCAGGCCUAACACAUGCAAGUCGAACGGUAGCACAGAGAGCUUGCUCUCGGGUGACGAGUGGCGGACGGGUGAGUAACGUCUGGGAAACUGCCCGAUGGAGGGGGAUAACUACUGGAAACGGUAGCUAAUACCGCAUAACGUCGCAAGACCAAAGUGGGGGACCUUCGGGCCUCACACCAUCGGAUGUGCCCAGAUGGGAUUAGCUAGUAGGUGGGGUAAUGGCUCACCUAGGCGACGAUCCCUAGCUGGUCUGAGAGGAUGACCAGCCACACUGGAACUGCGACACGGCCCAGACUCCUACGGGAGGCAGCAGUGGGGAAUAUUGCACAAUGGGCGCAAGCCUGAUGCAGCCAUGCCGCGUGUAUGAAGAAGGCCUUCGGGUUGUAAAGUACUUUCAGCGGGGAGGAAGGCGGUGAAGUUAAUAACUUCACCGAUUGACGUUACCCGCAGAAGAAGCACCGGCUAACUCCGUGCCAGCAGCCGCCGUAA
rnacentral:rRNA from 1 species